GUUUUCUGGUUUCAUUUUGUAUUUUGAUUUGAGAACUUUAUAAAAUAAAAACAGUAGGGCAAAGAUGAAAAAAAAAAAUAAAAAAUAAAAAAAAAAUAAAGGGGAUGCAGCCCGACUGCCAGGAGCGGAGCGCGAGUCGGCCCAGCCAAUGCGCAUGCGCGAGGCGUGAGCGGCUUCCCCCAUCACAGUGGUUCCCACAGUUGUCUUAGAAACCAGUCCCCGAGGCUUGGCAAAGCAGAAGCCCUCCGUGGCAGUGCUUGUGUGUCGGGGCUCCGAGGCUCCGGCCUGACCUCUCCACGGGGGCGACGGGAACUUCUCCAGAUGCCAGGAGUCGCAAAGGGCCGACCACCAUGAGGAAACCCCAGGCGGGGACGGGGGAAGCAGCACGGGAUCCCAGCCUCAGGCCUGCCCGGAUGGUGUUGGUUGGGAGUGCAGUGAAUAGAAGACACUUCUCUGCACCCCAAAAGCUCCAUGCUGAUUGCGAGAAGGAAAUGCUGGAUGGAGGGCUUCCUGGAACUACUGUGAGGGUUUCUUUUGAUUUCUCCUGCUUAGAAAUGGUAGAGAACUUUGGAUGUGGAACGUGGAGUAUGAGGAACACGAAGUGAAGGUCCGCACUUCGGGUGGUCAGCACUGCCAUGCCCAGCAAAGGCACUGCCUGGUCCACAUCCCAGAGGGGUCUCUGAGCCCCAGUCGGCAUCGCAGCUGAUGGUGAAACUUUUGGUGUGGCAGUAGAGUGUCUACAAACUUUAGAAGGUAUCCGCUGCCUCCUCCAUAGCCGUGUAUCACUGCCGAGGGCGAUCAUCUCUAGGAUCGGAACGUCCUGCUCAUGGGCCAGGGCUGGCUGGCUGGAGCCACUUGCGUGGCGCAGCCCUGGCUGAGGUUCAGGCGGCCCCGGUGUCGCAAGCGGCUGUGAGUGAUGCCUCCUUGGGGCCGGAGGGGUCCCAGGAAGGCGGCUGACCAGCACGCAGCAUGGUGGCCGGCCGCGAUGGAAGGUGACGGGGUUCGCAGCGCCAGGGGAUCCAGCAGAGCCCGAGCCCGGGCAUCCCGCGUCUCCAGCAGCACCGCGGGUAGGCCUGGCGCUGGUGACGUGGCGGCCAGUGCACAAGGCCCACGACCCAGCCCCAGAGGCCAGCCCAUCGUCAGCUAACUUCAGGAACCCCGGGCCAGCUUGAGGCCCCGGGCCCCACGGGCAAGACAAAGGGCAGAGGGCCGCAGGCGGGGCCAAGAGCAGGCAGUUCAGGCCUGGCUCCACCGCUGCGGAGCUCGCAGGGCGCAGCAGGCACCAGGCAGCGACCAGGGCUUCCAGAGGAGGCUGUGCACCCCUGCAAAGGCUCCUGCCCGGCGUCCGGCCUAUCCGUGGGGAUUCCACGUGCACCCCCUCCUCAUUGUCCUUGUCUAGGGCCGCGGCAAGGUCCUCGCUCCCAUGGCGUGACUCCGGGGGCGCAGGAGCCUGGGCCGAGCAGGUGGAGUACGGUGAGCUCCGCCAAGAACCCAGCGAGAGUGGCGCCCCAGGGAGGCACAGGAGGCUGCAUUUAACGUGUCAAUCAUCUCAAAGAUUUUAUAGCAUCUUCUUUUUCUUGACAUCUUAUAAUAUCUGUAAUGUCUAUUAUAUCUUAUAAUUAUUAAAACCACUUCAUUGUGAUUAUUAUGAUUAGUUUUAUACCAACACAUCUUCAAUUAUUAAUAUUCCCAGUUGCUAGAGAAAAAUGAAAACGACUAGUUUUGAAAGCCUUACUUCUGCCAAUGGAAGCACAUUCCAGCAUG
rnacentral:lncRNA from 1 species